GGAAGUGCCAAGGGGAGCCUCGACAAGAGGCUGAGAAACCGCUCGCGCAAGCAGCGCGGUGACCCUUCGAACCUGAUCCGGAUCAUGCCGGCGAAGGGAUGGGAAUAAUGAUGUGC
rnacentral:ncRNA from 2 species